CGAAAAGAAGAAAGUAACUAUAUACAGCAAACUACACAAAAAACAUUCUGAGUGGAUUUCCAGACUAAUUGAUGAUGAUAAUUUUUUGGUGGAAGUUGAGCACCCUCAAGAUAUUAAAUUUCCUUUCUUUACAUCAAAAAUGACUGGUUCAUCUGGAAAUAAAUACAUCUUGUACCAUUCCAAAACGAUUGGCAGGAUUAAUCUGAUAGAUGGAACUGACCCUUUAUACAAAAACAUUUUACCAAAGAUGUGUUGUAAAUUUGGUCAGCCAUCAAGACUACAUACUUCAAACAGCUACACAUUGUGAUGUGGUGGUGCUGCAGCUGUAUGCUGACCCAGAGGCCAAAAAGGAAAGCAGUGUUACUACAGUCACUGACGUCUUGAACUUUGCAUACAACUUAACAGCAAGCGGAUUUCUCAUUAUUGUAUUGGCAAUGUUUCUUAUCCAUUAUUGGUUACAGAUGGAUGUGGUACCUAUAAAUUCAGUUUUAAAUAACAGCAGUGUACUACUUUCAGCUAUCGGGUCCACUCAAGCGAUUUGUAGACAUAUUUAAGACGAGACAGUGAUAUUGUCAAAUGAUUUAUUCCAUUACUUGUCAAGUACAUUUUUAUAUGCAAUCUUGACAGUAACAUUUUGCACUUGUACAAACUGUCAGGUCUGGUUGACUAAUUUGAAAACAGUUUCAGUUGGCACAAUUAAUGCUAAAGACAUUGAAAUAUUGCCAGAUUUCAUUUCAUUGCUGGCUACUAGACAUUUACUUUAUACAGUUCAUACCAAGAAAUUUCAAUAUUGUCAGAUGACUUUAUUCCAUUGCUGUCCCAUUACAUGUACAGUUCUAUAUGCAAUGUUUGACACUUGUAUAAACUGCCAGGUGCACUUGAAUUGUCACUUCAUGUGAAAGAGCUAAAGACAUUGAAAUAUUGUCAGAUUUUAUUUCAUUGCUGGCUACUAGACAUUUACUUUAUACAGUUCAUACUCAAGAAAUUUCAGUAUUGUCAGAUGACUUUAUUCCAUUGCUGUUCCAUUACAUGUACAGUUCUAUAUGCAAUGUUUGACACUUGUAUAAACUGCCAGGUGCACUUUGUCACACUUCAUGUGACAGACAUCGGAAAUUGUCAUUUAAUUAUUCCUUUGCUGGCUACCAGAUUUACAUUUCUGUCUGCAGUCUUAAACAAUAAAAAGUGUUUCACUUGUA